AAACUAACAAGGAUUCCCCUAGUAAUGGCGAAUGAAGCGGGAAAAGCUCAAAUUUGAAAUCUGGCCGUUCCGCGGUCCGAGUUGUAAUUUCAAGAAGCGUCUUCGGAUGCGGCCCGGGUUUAAGUUCCUUGGAACAGGACGUCAUAGAGGGUGAGAACCCCGUCUUUGGCCCGGUGACCGUGUUCAUGUGAAGCGUUUUCGAAGAGUCGAGUUGUUUGGGAAUGCAGCUCUAAAUGGGUGGUAAAUUCCAUCUAAAGCUAAAUAUUGGUGGGAGACCGAUAGCGAACAAGUAGAGUGAUCGAAAGGUGAAAAGAACUUUGAAAAGAGAGUUAAACAGUACGUGAAAUUGUUGAAAGGGAAGCGCUUGAAGUCAGACUCGCCUGCUUCGGAUCAGCCUAGCUUUUGUUAGGUGCACUCCGGAGUUUGGCGGGCCAGCAUCAGUUUUGGAAGUCGGAUAAAGGUCUUGGGAACGUAGCUCUCUUCGGGGAGUGUUAUAGCCCAGGACGUAAUGCGACAAUCCGGGACUGAGGACCGCGGCUUUUGCCUAGGAUGCUGGCUUAAUGGCUUUAAGCGAC
rnacentral:rRNA from 1 species